rnacentral:rRNA from 1 species
GGGGGGGGGGGGGGGGGGGCCGGGGGCCGGCGGGGCGGGCGAACAGCUGAGGGGCUUGCUCCUCUGGCGUUAGCGGCGGACGGGUGAGUAACACGUGGCUAACCUACCUAUAAGACUGGGCUAACUUCGGGCACCCGUAGCUCAUACCGGGUAAUAUAUUGAACCGCCUUGUUCAAUAGUGCCAGCCUGUUUUGCUGUCACUUCUAGAUUUCUCCGCGCCGCAUUCGCGAGGUGGUAAGGUAACGGCUUACCAAGGCAACGAUGCGUAGCCGACCUGAGAGGGUGAUCGGCCACACUGGAACUGAGACACGGUCCAGACUCCUACGGGAGGCAGCAGUAGGGAAUCUUCCGCAAUGGGCGUAAGCCUGACGGAGCAACGCCGCGUGAGUGAUGAAGGUCUUCGGAUCGUAAAACUCUGUUAUUAGGGAAGAACAAAUGUGUAAGUAACUAUGCACGUCUUGACGGUACCUAAUCAGAAAGCCACGGCUAACUACGUG